GACGAACGCUGGCGGCGUGCUUAACACAUGCAAGUCGAACGGUGAAGGGACUGGUUUUUGCUGGUUCUGGAUGAGUGGCGAACGGGUGAGUAACACGUGAGUAACCUGCCCCCUUCUUCUGGAUAACCGCAUGAAAGUGUGGCUAAUACGGGAUAUUCUGCGCCUGCUGCAUGGUGGGUGUGGGAAAGAUAUUGUUUCGGUGGGGGAUGGGCUCGCGGCCUAUCAGCUUGUUGGUGGGGUGAUGGCCUACCAAGGCGGUGACGGGUAGCCGGCCUGAGAGGGUGGACGGUCACACUGGGACUGAGACACGGCCCAGACUCCUACGGGAGGCAGCAGUGGGGAAUAUUGCACAAUGGGCGCAAGCCUGAUGCAGCGACGCCGCGUGAGGGAUGGAGGCCUGCGGGUUGUAAACCUCUUUCGCCAGUGAAGCAGGCCUGUCCCUUUUGUGGGUGGGUUGACGGUAGCUGGAUAAGAAGCGCCGGCUAACUACGUG
rnacentral:rRNA from 1 species